rnacentral:rRNA from 1 species
ACCCGCUGAACUUAAGCAUAUCAAUAAGCGGAGGAAAAGAAACCAACAGGGAUUGCCUUAGUAACGGCGAGUGAAGCGGCAACAGCUCAAAUUUGAAAUCUGGCCUCUUUGGGGUCCGAGUUGUAAUUUGCAGAGGGCGCUUUGGCGUUGGCAGCGGUCCAAGUUCCUUGGAACAGGACGUCACAGAGGGUGAGAAUCCCGUACGUGGUCGCUAGCCUUCGCCGUGUAAAGCCCCUUCGACGAGUCGAGUUGUUUGGGAAUGCAGCUCUAAAUGGGAGGUAAAUUUCUUCUAAAGCUAAAUACUGGCCAGAGACCGAUAGCGCACAAGUAGAGUGAUCGAAAGGUGAAAAGCACUUUGGAAAGAGAGUCAAACAGCACGUGAAAUUGUUGAAAGGGAAGCGCUUGCAGCCAGACUUGCCUGUAGUUGCUCAUCCGGGCUUUUGCCCGGUGCACUCUUCUGCGGGCAGGCCAGCAUCAGUUUGGGCGGUUGGAUAAAGGUCUCUGUCAUGUACCUCUCUUCGGGGAGGCCUUAUAGGGGAGACGACAUGCAACCAGCCCAGACUGAGGUCCGCGCAUUUGCUAGGAUGCUGGCGUAAUGGCUGU